CUCGACCCGCUCCUCCUCUCCACUCAACCCACUCCUCUCCGCCGCCGACUCCUUCCUCCCCCACCGCCGUAGACUCCUUCCUCUCUCUCCAUCGCUAACUCCUUUCUCUCUCCUGAGAGAGGAGGGGAGGCCACCACUGCCGGCUGCGCUCUGCCAUGCCAAGAAGUGAGAUGGCUGGCUUGGAAGGUUUCGAGUUCUUCGAGAUCGUAAUCGAGAAAUCCUCUAGUAGAGGCUGCUUGACAAGUUUGCGAAGAUGCUCGAUGGCUGUGAGCCCCAGGAAGUGAAGCUACGGGAGGCCGGCAGCGGGCGUCGUAGGCUGUGGGGCGUGCUAGUGGUGUUCGACACCGACAACCACAUGUACCUAGGGCCUGGCUGAAAGCAUUUCACCCACGCCCACGACCUGCACUACGGGCACUUCCUUGUAUUUCACUAAAACGGCGACGCCAUGCUCACCGUGAAGGUGUUCGAUAGCACCAUGUGUUGCAGGUACUACUAGCACGAUGACGAUGCCAGCAAUGGGAGCAGUAGUGGGGAUGACGAGGAGCAGAGUGGGGAAGAAGAGGAGCAGAGUGGGGAAGAAGAGGAGCAGAGCGGUGAAGAAGAUGAGUAGGCAGGGAGGUGUAGCUUAUUCUGGCUGACGACCUUGCUAUGGUGGUGGUUGAUGACGACCUUGCUAUGGUGGUGGCUGACGAUGACCUCGCGAUUGUGGUGCAUGACGAUGACCUUGCGAUGGUGGUGCCUCACGAUGGCCUCGCGAUGGUGGUGCCUAACAAUGACCUCACAAUGGUGGUGCUGCCAGUGAUCCCACAGUUGGGCGACAGGACCAGUCCAAUUGUGUUAGAGGAGUACAUCAGCAUCGACAUUCGCCACUCUAAGUGCAUCAGGAUGAUG